rnacentral:rRNA from 1 species
AAAUUGAAGAGUUUGAUCAUGGCUCAGAUUGAACGCUGGCGGCAGGCCUAACACAUGCAAGUCGAACGGUAACAGGAAGCAGCUUGCUGCUUCGCUGACGAGUGGCGGACGGGUGAGUAAUGUCUGGGAAACUGCCUGAUGGAGGGGGAUAACUACUGGAAACGGUGGCUAAUACCGCAUAACGUCGCAAGACCAAAGAGGGGGACCUUCGGGCCUCUUGCCAUCAGAUGUGCCCAGAUGGGAUUAGCUAGUUGGUGAGGUAACGGCUCACCAAGGCGACGAUCCCUAGCUGGUCUGAGAGGAUGACCAGCCACACUGGAACUGAGACACGGUCCAGACUCCUACGGGAGGCAGCAGUGGGGAAUAUUGCACAAUGGGCGCAAGCCUGAUGCAGCCAUGCCGCGUGUAUGAAGAAGGCCUUCGGGUUGUAAAGUACUUUCAGCGGGGAGGAAGGUGUUGUGGUUAAUAACCGCAGCAAUUGACGUUACCCGCAGAAGAAGCACCGGCUAACUCCGUGCCAGCAGCCGCGGUAAUACGGAGGGUGCAAGCGUUAAUCGGAAUUACUGGGCGUAAAGCGCACGCAGGCGGUCUGUCAAGUCGGAUGUGAAAUCCCCGGGCUCAACCUGGGAACUGCAUUCGAAACUGGCAGGCUUGAGUCUUGUAGAGGGGGGUAGAAUUCCAGGUGUAGCGGUGAAAUGCGUAGAGAUCUGGAGGAAUACCGGUGGCGAAGGCGGCCCCCUGGACAAAGACUGACGCUCAGGUGCGAAAGCGUGGGGAGCAAACAGGAUUAGAUACCCUGGUAGUCCACGCCGUAAACGAUGUCUACUUGGAGGUUGUGCCCUUGAGGCGUGGCUUCCGGAGCUAACGCGUUAAGUAGACCGCACGGGAGUACGGCCGCAAGGUUAAAACUCAAAUGAAUUGACGGGGGCCCGCACAAGCGGUGGAGCAUGUGGUUUAAUUCGAUGCAACGCGAAGAACCUUACCUGGUCUUGACAUCCACAGAACUUUCCAGAGAUGGAUUGGUGCCUUCGGGAACUGUGAGACAGGUGCUGCAUGGCUGUCGUCAGCUCGUGUUGUGAAAUGUUGGGUUAAGUCCCGCAACGAGCGCAACCCUUAUCCUUUGUUGCCAGCGAUUAGGUCGGGAACUCAAAGGAGACUGCCAGUGAUAAACUGGAGGAAGGUGGGGAUGACGUCAAGUCAUCAUGGCCCUUACGACCAGGGCUACACACGUGCUACAAUGGCGCAUACAAAGAGAAGCGACCUCGCGAGAGCAAGCGGACCUCAUAAAGUGCGUCGUAGUCCGGAUUGGAGUCUGCAACUCGACUCCAUGAAGUCGGAAUCGCUAGUAAUCGUGGAUCAGAAUGCCACGGUGAAUACGUUCCCGGGCCUUGUACACACCGCCCGUCACACCAUGGGAGUGGGUUGCAAAAGAAGUAGGUAGCUUAACCUUCGGGAGGGCGCUUACCACUUUGUGAUUCAUGACUGGGGUGAAGUCGUAACAAGGUAACCGUAGGGGAACCUGCGGUUGGAUCACCUCCUUACCUUAAAGAA